GACGAACGCUGGCGGCGUGGAUUAGGCAUGCAAGUCGAACGGUAUCAUCCUUUCGGGGGUGAGAGAGUGGCGAACUGGUGAGUAACACGUAGGUUAUCUACCCUCAAGACGGGGACAACCCAGGGAAACUUGGGCUAAUACCGGAUGUGAGCAACUUUUAGUUGUUUGAAAGGUGGCGUAAGCUGUCGCUUGGGGAUGAGCCUGCGUCCUAUUAGUUAGUUGGUGAGGUAACGGCUCACCUAGGCAAUGAUAGGUAGGCGGCCUUAACGGGUGGUCGCCCACACUGGGAUUGAGAUACGGCCCAGACUCCUACGGGAGGCAGCAGUCGAGAAUAGUCUACAAUGGUCGGAAGACUGAUAGUGCGACGCCGCGUGAACGAUGAAUCCCUUCGGGGUGUAAAGUUCUUUUAUAUGUGAGCAGUGCUUCUUAUAUUAACAGUAUGGGGAGAGAGAUAUUAGCAUACGAAUAAGCAACGGCUAACUCCGUGCCAGCAGCCGCGGUAAAAUCACG
rnacentral:rRNA from 1 species